rnacentral:rRNA from 1 species
UACGGAGGUUGCAAACGUUGCUCGGAAUUAUUGGGCGUAAAGCGCACGUAGGCGGUUUCGUAAGUCGGAUGUGAAAGCCCAGGGCUCAACCCUGGAAGUGCAUUCGAAACUGCGGAGCUGGAGUAUGGGAGAGGGUCGCGGAAUUCCCGGUGUAGAGGUGAAAUUCGUAGAUAUCGGGAGGAACACAAGUGGCGAAGGCGGCGACCUGGGCCAAUACUGACGCUGAGGUGCGAAAGCGUGGGGAGCAAACAGG